AAACAAUACACCACCCCAACUCAAAACACAAACAAAGAAAUAAAGGAAUCAAUCAAGAGAAGAGGGUGAAGAUGAAUCCCAACAACGAAGAGAGUAGCAGUGGGGAGAAGAAGGGAAGUAGUGGUUCUAAAAGAGGGAAGAUUACAGCAAUGGCAGUGAAGAAAUGUGGAGAGCUUGCAAAGAAAGGUGCCAACACUGUUGUUGAGGCUUAUAAAGACCACAAAGAUAAGGGAAAAGUUAAACCUUGUGAUGAUUAAUAUCUAUACAUAACUAUUGUUCUUUAAUUAUAUCAUUAUGUGUCACAAAUUUGUAUUUGUAGUAAAAUAUAGGUCAGAAGUAUACUUUUGUAGAAUGUCUACCAUAUUGAUCAUACUUGUGAUUCGAUUCUCUCUGUAAACGUAUACAUUAUUUAUUACUAAAACACAUUGAUUGUGGA